rnacentral:rRNA from 1 species
CACGAAGGGGGCUAGCGUUACUCGGAAUUACUGGGCGUAAAGGGCGCGUAGGCGGAUACUUAAGUCGGGGGUGAAAGCCCGGGGCUCAACCCAGGAAGUGCACUCGAAACUGUCAGGCUUGAAUAUGGAAGAGGGUCGCGGAAUUCCGGGUGGAGUGGUGAAAUGCGUAGAGAUCCGGAGGAACACCAAAGGCGAAGGCAGUGUCCUGGGGAGUACCUGACGCUCAGGUGCGAAAGCCAGGGGAGCGAACGGG